GUCGAACGCUGGCGGCGUGCUUAACACAUGCAAGUCGACUGUGGCGGAGGGGUGAGUCACUCGUAAAGAACUUGCCUCACAGUUAGGGUCACCAUUUGGAAACGAAAGCUAAUACCUGAUACUGUGAGAGAGCUUUGCGUCCCAUUAGCUCGUUGGAGAGGUAACGGCUCACCAAGGCGAUGAUGGGUAGCCGGCCUGAAAGGGUGAUCGGCCACAAGGGGACAGAGACGCGGCCCGUAGGCCAUAUGGAGGAAUCGGUGGAGAAGAUAGGCCAAUGUACCGAAGUCUGAUCAAGCAAUUCGGUGUGUAAGAGAAAGUUGUCGGAAUGUAAAGGGCUUUCAGAUGAGAAGCGUUACCCACAGAAGAAGUAACGGCUAACUACGUGCCAGCAGCCGCGGUAAUAC
rnacentral:rRNA from 1 species